rnacentral:rRNA from 1 species
GCGGCAAGCUUAAUACAUGCAAGUCGAGGGGCAGCAUGAAGUAGCAAUACUUUGAUGGCGACCGGCAAACGGGUGCGGAACACGUACACAACCUUCCUUUUAGUGGGGAAUAGCCCAGAGAAAUUUGGAUUAAUACCCCGUAACAUAACCGAGUGGCAUCACUUGGUUAUUAUAGCUUCGGCGCUAAAUGAUGGGUGUGCGUAUGAUUAGAUAGUUGGCGAGGUAACGGCUCACCAAGUCUACGAUCAUUAGCUGAUGUGAGAGCAUGAUCAGCCACACGGGCACUGAGACACGGGCCCGACUCCUACGGGAGGCAGCAGUAAGGAAUAUUGGUCAAUGGACGCAAGUCUGAACCAGCUAUGCCGCGUGAAGGAUUAAGGUCCUCUGGAUUGUAAACUUCUUUUAUCUGGGACGAAAAAAGGUCUUUCUAGACCCCUUGACGGUACCAGAUGAAUAAGCACCGGCUAACUCCGUGCCAGCAGCCGCGGUAAUACGGAGGGUGCAAGCGUUAUCCGGAUUCACUGGGUUUAAAGGGUGCGUAGGCGGGUAGGUAAGUCAGUGGUGAAAUCCUGGAGCUCAACUCCAGAACUGCCAUUGAUACUAUCUAUCUUGAAUAUUGUGGAGGUAAGCGGAAUAUGUCAUGUAGCGGUGAAAUGCUUAGAUAUGACAUAGAACACCCAUUGCGAAGGCAGCUUACUACGCAUAUAUUGACGCUGAGGCACGAAAGCGUGGGGAUCAAACAGGAUUAGAUACCCUGGUAGUCCACGCCCUAAACGAUGGAUACUCGACAUACGCGAUACACUGUGUGUGUCUGAGCGAAAGCAUUAAGUAUCCCACCUGGGAAGUACGUUCGCAAGAAUG